rnacentral:rRNA from 1 species
CCUACGGGAGGCUGCAGUGAGGAAUAUUGGUCAAUGGGCGCGAGCCUGAACCAGCCAAGUAGCGUGAAGGAUGACUGCCCUACGGGUUGUAACCUUCUUUUAUAAAGGCAUAAAGUGAGGCACGUGUGCCUUUUUGUAUGUACUUUAUGAAUAAGGAUCGGCUAACUCCGUGCCAGCAGCCGCGGUAAUACGGAGGAUCCGAGCGUUAUCCGGAUUUAUUGGGUUUAAAGGUAGCGUAGAUGGGUUGUUAAGUCAGUUGUGAAAGUUUGGGGCUCAACCGUAAAAUUGCAAUUGAUACUGGCAGCCUUGAGUACAGUUGAGGGAGGCGGAAUUCGUGGUGUAGCGGUGAAAUGCGUAGAUAUCACGAAGAACUCCGAUGGCGAAGGCAGCUUACUAAACUGCCACUGACAUUGAUGCGCGAAAGUGUGGGUAUCAAACAGGAUUAGAUACCCCUGUAGUC